UGUUUUGUGGUACCCUCAAAUAAAUAACAGCCCUCUAUUUUCGUUCAUCCAAUGGCCUAUAACAAUUCAUACCACUUCUAAACAGAUGAGAAGUAUUAUUCAUACCACAGUCAAAUUUCAGCACCGUACCAUAACAGGCCGUGAACGGGCCUGGCCUAAGAGCCCAAGAGAGCCCAAUUCAAGUGCAAUGCGUUGACAUUCAGGGAAAAAACGUAACCCUCGUCUCCUUAUCCAGCGAGUCAACACGGAUGCAUGGUGCCGCCGCCGAACUCCCGGGCAACUCCGGCGCCCCACCGCAUUGGUCCCUCUUCUGCGCAAGAUCCACACCUACCUGCCGCCCCCGUCCUCCUACCCCAAACUUAGCCACGUCCCGCCCGUGGCGCCUUCCCGCCUGGCCCCAAUCAAGGACCCGACAGCGCCACCUUCCUCGUCCGUGGCGCGCUUCGUCUCGCCCCACCUUCGUCGUCUCCUCUGCAACCUGAAAGGGAGAUAAAGAAUCUGGAUUUGUAAUAGUUUUUUCCUUUUUGCCAUUUUAUAUCCUUUGUUGGCCUCUUGGUGCCAUUUUACUCCUGAGUUUUCUAGCAUUGACAUGUAUUCUGACAAUCUUUCAUGUCAUGAUUUUGAUCUUUGAACUCAGCUCUGUCAAAAAUUGCCAAUAAAGUCAUUAGGAAACUACUAGAUGGUGUGUGUAAUCCUGUCCUGAUUUUCCGUAUGAGUCAAAUGCAUUGUUCUACUAGUAUUAAAAUGAGUACUGUUUGGUCAAGUUCGCAUGCAAUCUGUCAAAUGGUAAUAAGCACUAAUAAUACAUAAAUAUAUGAUGACCUAUGUUAUCUUCUUCAGCUAGCUCUCUUCCUCUAGGGGCUGUUCAUGCCUUGAGGCCGGGACACAAUGGCUACACUGGUGAGGGUGGGGACUCCAGCAUGUCUUGGCCACGUGAUGAGUCUUUGAGCACUUCCGUGUACAUGCUUACUGUACUAAGCUUGCGAGCAUCCCUGUGAUGUUUUUCGAUCUGCCAUUUGAUGUUUUCUCUGGUUUUGAGCAGUCCAUUUUCUUCAGUGAUCAGAUUGUUCAUGAUUUCGACGACCCAAGCUGUCUUAGGUCCCACGACAAGGCUACUCAAGUGGAUGCUGAGAAAAUUAAGACGGACGGUUACAGUUGGAGGUAACAAGACAUCACCUAUUGAUAGAUGAUUUGGAAGAGGAGGUUUGGGACGAAAAUAAUAUUGUGAAACAAUUAUGUAGCGACAAUAUUCAACAUGAGACAUAUCUAACAUUUCAUUGAUGCGGUGAUAGAAGAGUUGGAAGCGAUGAAGAAAUUAUUAAGAAAGAUGUUCCACAUCAGGACAAGAUAAAGGAGCUUGAGGUUCUUACACAGAAAAUGAUCAAAUUUUCAGUGGCAACUAGUGCAGUCGCCUCAGCAACUGUCUUAAAAUUUAUUUUUGAACUUGUAUUUUUGUUAAGCUGUGAUUCGUGAGUGACUUGUAAAUAUUAUUGAAUUCAUAAUAUCUGGUGGCAAGUCCUGUCAUUUUAGAGGAUGUUUUAGUUUUCUGUCA